rnacentral:rRNA from 1 species
GACGAACGCUGGCGGCGUGCUUAACACAUGCAAGUCGAACGAUGAAGCGCUGUCUUUUUGGUGGUGUGGAUUAGUGGCGAACGGGUGAGUAAUACGCGGGCAACCUGCCCCUCUGCUUCGGGAUAAGAUAUGGAAACGGGGUCUAAUACCGAAUGUGCCUGUCUGGUUCAUGGCUGGGCGGGGAAAGAUGUUUUACGGC